UGUGAUCGGAAGCGAGAAUGUUGACAUGAGUAGCGACAAACAGGGUGAGAGACCCUGUCGCCGAAAGUCCAAGGGUUCCUGCUUAAAGCUAAUCUGAGCAGGGUAAGCCGGCCCCUAAGGCGAGGCCGAAAGGCGUAGUCGAUGGGAACCAGGUUAAUAUUCCUGGGCCAGGAGAUGGUGACGGAUCGCAGGUGUAGUUCCUCCUUAUCGGAUUGGAGGGGCUGCUGAGCGGUUCCUGGAAAUAGCCCUCCACAAGACCGUACCCUAAACCGACACAGGUGGACUGGUAGAGAAUACCAAGGCGCUUGAGAGAACCACAUUUAAGGAACUCGGCAAAAUACCUCCGUAAGUUCGCGAGAAGGAGGCCCCGUUGGCAGGCAACUGUCGGCGGGGGGCACAAACCAGGGGGUGGCGACUGUUUACUAAAAACACAGGGCUCUGCGAAGCCGUAAGGCGACGUAUAGGGUCUGACGCCUGCCCGGUGCCGGAAGGUUAAAAGGAGAGGUGCAAGCCUUGAAUUGAAGCCCCGGUAAACGGCGGCCGUAACAAUAACGGUCCUAAGGUAGCGAAAUUCCUUGUCGGGUAGUUCCGACCUGCACGAAUGGCGUAACGACUUCCCCGCUGUCUCAAAUGUGGACUCAGCGAAAUUGAAUUGUCUGUGAAGAUGCAGACUUCCCGCGGUUAGACGGAAAGACCCCAUGCACCUUUACUAUAGCUUCGCACUGGCAUCAGGAUUGCGAUGUGCAGGAUAGGUGGUAGGCAUUGAGCCCGGGACGCCAGUUCCGGUGGAGCCAUCCUUGAGAUACCACCCUUCGCACUCUUGAUGUCUAACCGCGGCCCGUUAUCCGGGUCCGGGACCCUGCGUGGUGGGUAGUUUGACUGGGGCGGUCGCCUCCCAAAGAGUAACGGAGGCGCGCGAAGGUUGGCUCAGAGCGGUCGGAAAUCGCUCGUCGAGUGCAAUGGCAGAAGCCAGCCUGACUGCAAGACUGACAAGUCGAGCAGAGACGAAAGUCGGCCAUAGUGAUCCGGUGGUCCCGAGUGGAAGGGCCAUCGCUCAACGGAUAAAAGGUACGCUGGGGAUAACAGGCUGAUGAUGCCCAAGAGUCCAUAUCGACGGCAUCGUUUGGCACCUCGAUGUCGGCUCACCUCAUCCUGGGGCUGGAGCAGGUCCCAAGGGUAUGGCUGUUCGCCAUUUAAAGAGGUACGUGAGCUGGGUUUAGAACGUCGUGAGACAGUUCGGUCCCUAUCUGCCGUGGGUGUAGGAUACUUGAGAGGAGUUGCCCCUAGUACGAGAGGACCGGGGUGAACGUUCCACUGGUGGACCAGUUAUCGUGCCAACGGUAGUGCUGGGUAGCUAUGAACGGACAGGAUAAACGCUGAAGGCAUCUAAGCGUGAAGCCCCCCUCAAAACAAGGUAUCCCUUGAGAGCCGUGGAAGACCACCACGUCGAUAGGCCGGAGAUGUAAGCGCAGCAAUGCGUUCAGUUGACCGGUACUAAUCGCCC
rnacentral:rRNA from 1 species